UACGUAGGGUGCAAGCGUUAAUCGGAAUUACUGGGCGUAAAGCGUGCGCAGGCGGUUGUGUAAGACAGAUGUGAAAUCCCCGGGCUCAACCUGGGAACUGCAUUUGUGACUGCACAGCUGGAGUGCGGCAGAGGGGGAUGGAAUUCCGCGUGUAGCAGUGAAAUGCGUAGAUAUGUGGAGGAACACCGAUGGCGAAGGCAGCCCCCUGGGUCAAGAUUGA
rnacentral:rRNA from 1 species